CUUUCACCCAAAUUUUGUAAAGAAACCUUAACUUUUUUUCCUCUCCCAUAUUUCUCUUCGACAAAAGAAAGCUCCACCAUGCGCGUCUUCCGUUUCUAAUCGUUCGUCUGCUCGCGUCGAUUCCAGCAGUCGUCGUCUGCUCACAGUGUCCGCCGCCAGUUCGAUCGAUCUCCUCAAGCUGCUGCCAUUUCUGCUCUUUUCCAGUCCGAUCUUCUCAAGUUGCCGUCGUUAUCUGCUCACAGCAUCCGCCACCAGUUCGAUCGAUCUCCUCAAGCUGUUGCCAUUUUUGCCCUUUUCCAGUCCGAUCUCCUCAAGUCGCCGUCGUCUGCUCGUUGUGUUCGCUGGUUCGUCCGCCAGCAGUUGCAUCUGUCGUCAUUUUUGCUCUUUGCAACCGCAACCAUCACCAGGGUUGUUAGAUGAAGGGAGAAGGAUGUGGUUAUGUGUUGUGGAACUUGUUUGCGUGGAUGCCAAUCAACUAACGUUGGUGAACCAAAAACAAAAAGAAAUUUUCUUGACAAUGCUAGCAAUAUUCUUACCAAUUUGUUAAGUGGUGGAAAUUUGGGAUCUAUGUCGAUAGCUGAAGGUGCGGUCUCUGAUUUGUUUGGCCGUCUACUCUUCUUUGCUCUAUAUGAUUGGUUCUUAUAGGUAUUUGCAUCUCAUAAAUCUCUUCGGUUUCAACUGAAAUAUUAGUUUCCUAUAAGGACACUCACUCCCUCUUAUAAUGUUAAUGUGAUGUGCACCUUUUCAUUUUGUCUGCUCAUGAGAUCUAAACAUCUAUUUCUUUUUAUUCAUUUUUUAUUCUUCAUCUGCAGCAUAGAUCUGUUUAUAGACUUGCCUUUGGACCAAAAGCAUUUGUUGUUGUAUCAGAACACAUUUGCUUUAGAACUUUUGAAGUGCUUUUUAUCAUGUUCUGUAUACUUUCUUUUGGUUACAACUUGUAGGGCAGAGUUAGUAAAAGGGCUUGAAAUUAAAAAAGGAGAAUAUAAAUUUGGUUAAAACUAUUCUAUCACUGUUCUUUAUGUUGCUACUGCAGCUUCUACUCCUAAAAUUCAUCAUGAUAUCUCUAACAUCUCUAAUUUCCUCCUCUAUAGCUUUUAAGUUCGACAGUAAGUACUGAUUUGUAUUGUUCUGUAGUUGUUCACUCCCAAAUUGAUAUUGACAUUCACUUGUUAGGCUUGGUCGAAAUAGAUCCAAACAAAAGAAUGCCGCAUUUCACCUCAGAGAGAAGAGGGUUAAAUACAUGGCUUUUCAUUUCUUUUUUUUUACAAAGUAAAAUGUUCUUUUAAGGAACUUCAUUGCUAAUUUUCAUGGUAUUUUUUUCUGUGGCUAAUGUUAUGUUUACCUUAGAAUGUUUCGUAUUUACUUUGAUAGUUCAUGAUCUUCUUGUUCUUCAUGAUUUUCAUAUUUAAUAGGAGGCUAUUAUCCCACCCCCAAGUUUUAAUUCUCUUCCUUGACACCUACUAAUAUGCAGAUCUAUGCUCCAAGGUAUUCAUUCUUUUCUAUACUAGAAAAUUGUCGUCGUGCACUUCUUAAUAUCUUGUUGACUUGAGCUUCAGUUCUAGAUUGUUGGUUCUAAUUUUUUGGUUUGUGGUCAUUUGAUUUGUAACUUUGUUUGAAAAUUCCACUGUUUACUCAAUGAUUCAAUUCUAUGAAGGAUGAAUUUUGUUAUAGUUGUUUGAAAUGAAACAAAUUUUUGGUCUUGUGGCAUUACACAAUUGUGUGAAUUUAUAGAUUUAUACGUUUUUUUUUCUAGGUGUAGAAAUGAAACAAAUUUUUGGUCUUGUAGCAUUACACGAUUGUUCGGCUUAUUUUAAUGCAUCUCUCAAUAUUUACCUGCUUUCUAAAUAGAUAUGUACUCAAGAAAAUGAUCGCGAAAUGAAACAAAUUUUUGCUCUUAUGGCAAAGUAAACAGAGAAGUUCAAGUGCACUGCCCACCAAGAGGUUUGUUCAAGAAAUCUAGGGCAGAGACUGCUAUGGCUCAUAAGGUAGACCACGAGUAUGAUUAUUUGUUUAAGAUUGUUCUGAUUGGGGAUUCCGACGUUGGGAAGUCCAACAUUCUUUCGAGAUUUACUAGAAACGAGUUUUGCUUGGAGUCCAAAUCCACCAUUGAUCUUUUGGGUUAGAUAAACAAGUUUUGUUGAUACUAGAUAUAAGAGAACUAGUUUUGUUGAUAUUUUGUUAAUACUGGAUAUAGGUGAACUAGUUUUGUUGAUAUUGGAUAUAGGUAAAAGACAAGUUUUGAUAUGGUA